UUUCUGCUCAGUUUUUGGAUCACAAAGUUUACCGUAGCUAACUGAUUUUUGU
rnacentral:sRNA from 1 species